UGACGACUUCUAUAAGCCCCAGAUCGUUUAGUCGCAUAUCCCAGAUUUUGUUUUCAUCGAAAGAAAGUAUUCGCGAUGUCGCCACCCGCGGUGAAUCUACAAUCGAAGCCAGAGGAUACAGAAAAAAUAAUCUCUAAACGCUCCACACAGCGUAAGUGUAUAAUAGCAACAGGUGUAGUUGUGGCACUUCUUAUUAUUGCUGCUAUCCCAUUUGGUUUUGCCGCCUAUAAGAAUCACCUGUUUGAUAAAGAGGAAUACAAAGCCACGGCCAUAGCGGAUGCAUACCAAAUUCCAGAACAUAUUCAUGUUGAUUACGACAAGGAGUUGAUUUAUGUCAGCAAUAAACAAAUUGGACCAAUAGAUGCUCUGGAUGCUCUUCACAACUAUGACCGAAAACUUUUGGCUUUCUAUGAUUUGACAACUAACCGAUGUUACAUCGAUCGCCUUGAUGAAACGUUUGAUGAAGGUCUGAAAUUUUGGUCAUCUCAUGACGGCAAAGAUAGAACUCCACUGAAAGUUCGUUUUGACUACACACCCGAACCAAUCAACCAAGACGUCCUGAGAAAAUUUGCUGGUGCUGAAAUCGCCGAUCAUUGUAUAAAUGUGACGUCACAUUGGAUGAUUAAUAUUCGUCCGUACACAACAGAGGAAGGAGAAAGCGGAGGAGGGACCACUGCAUUUAUCUGUCGACGCAAGUAUUAUUCAGAGUGACGAAACCCAUUCAAAUUUCAAGAUACCACCUUUUCUCAACACGGUUACAAUGAUAUUAGUUCUGAUGGUGAAAUGUGUAUAUUCUUAUUAAUAUUAAAAAUAAUUAUUGGCGGUAUAUUAAACAAAUUCAAUAUCAAUUCAACACUAUCAUUAAUUUUGUAGUUUAGUAUCUGAAUGAUAAUAAAUAUAUAUAAUAAUUAUCGUA